rnacentral:rRNA from 1 species
AGCGAACGCUGGCGGCAGGCCUAACACAUGCAAGUCGAACGAACCUUUCGGGGUUAGUGGCGGACGGGUGAGUAACACGUGGGAACGUGCCUUUAGGUUCGGAAUAACUCAGGGAAACUUGUGCUAAUACCGAAUGUGCCCUUCGGGGGAAAGAUUAAUCGCCUUUAGAGCGGCCCGCGUCUGAUUAGCUAGUUGGUUGAGGUAAUGGCUCACCAAGGCGACGAUCAGUAGCUGGUCUGAGAGGAUGAUCAGCCACAUUGGGACUGAGACACGGCCCAAACUCCUACGGGAGGCAGCAGUGGGGAAUCUUGCGGAAUGGGCGAAAGCCUGACGCAGCCAUGCCGCGUGAAUGAUGAAGGUCUUAGGAUUGUAAAAUUCUUUCACCGGGGACGAUAAUGACGGUACCCGGAGAAGAAGCCCCGGCUAACUUCGUG